CCUACGUGUGGCAGCAGUGAGGAAUAUUGGUCAAUGUGCGCAAGCCUGAACCAGCCAAGUCGCGUGAGGGAUGACGGUCCUAUGGAUGGUAAACCUCUUUUGUCGGGGAGCAAGGCCCGCCACGUGUGGCGGGAAGGAGAGUACCCGAAGAAAAAGCAUCGGCUACAUCCGUGCCAGCAGCCGCGGUAAGACCGAGGAGGCGAGCGUUAUCCGGAUAUAUUGGGGUUAAAGUGUGCGUAGGCGGAAGGUUAAGUCAGCGGUCAAAUGUCGGUGCUCAACACCGGCCUGCCGUUGAAACUGGUCGUCUUGAGUGAGCGAGAAGUAUGCGGAAUGCGUGGUGUAGCGGUGAAAUGCAUAGAUAUCACGCAGAACUCCGAUUGCGAAGGCAGCAUACCGGCGCUCAACUGACGCUGAGGCACGAAAGCGUGGGGAUCGAACAGGAUUAGAUACCCUUGUAGUC
rnacentral:rRNA from 1 species